rnacentral:SRP_RNA from 1 species
GCCAGGUGUGGUGGCGGGCGCCUGUAAUCCCAGCUACUCGGAAGGCUGAUGCAGGACAAUCACUUGAACCUGGGAGACGGAGGUUGCAGUGAGCUGAGAUUGUGCCAUUUGCACUCCAGCCUGGACCACAGAGCAAGACUCCAUCUCAGAAAAAAAAAAAAGAAGCUCAGGCUGGAGUGCAAUGGCGCGAUCUCGGCUCACUGCAACCUCUGCCUCCCGCGUUCAAGUGGUUCUCCUGCCUCAG